rnacentral:tRNA from 1 species
AGAAGUGUGCCCGAGAAUAAGGGGUUAUUUUGAUGGAAUAAAUACAGAGGCACCCUCUCACUCCUA